GACGAACGCUGGCGGCGUGCCUAAUACAUGCAAGUAGAACGCACAGUUUAUACCGUAGCUUGCUACACCAUAGACUGUGAGUUGCGAACGGGUGAGUAACGCGUAGGUAACCUGCCUGUUAGCGGGGGAUAACUAUUGGAAACGAUAGCUAAUACCGCAUAAUAUUAAUUAUUGCAUGAUAAUUAAUUGAAAGGUGCAAUUGCACCACUACCAGAUGGACCUGCGUUGUAUUAGCUAGUAGGUGAGGUAACGGCUCACCUAGGCGACGAUACAUAGCCGACCUGAGAGGGUGAUCGGCCACACUGGGACUGAGACACGGCCCAGACUCCUACGGGAGGCAGCAGUAGGGAAUCUUCGGCAAUGGACGAAAGUCUGACCGAGCAACGCCGCGUGAGUGAAGAAGGUUUUCGGAUCGUAAAGCUCUGUUGUAAGAGAAGAACGGGUGUGAGAGUGGAAAGUUCACACUGUGACGGUAUCUUACCAGAAAGGGACGGCUAACUACGUG
rnacentral:rRNA from 1 species